GAAAAAUUAUCAUUAGACCAAAAUCAUGAAGAGGCACAAUUUGUCCAAUUGUAUAAAGUGAUGAGGAGUUUUUAUUGGACCAUAUGCUGCAAUGUUUGACUCUUUGAUUCUUAGCUACUAAAGUUGGCUUAACUUAAUCAGUAAAAAAGACAUCAUCAAACCGCCUUCCUUCUACAAGUGGCUGACCAUCCAUAGUUACUUUUCAAGCCUGUAUAAGCAUUGCAUCACCCAUUGUGAAAAUCAUUCAAUUCAUUCACUCUCAGACACCAUCAGAGAACAUCACGAAACAGAGGAGAAAGGCAGAGAGUUUGAGCACGGAACGACGGAGGAAGCGACGGUGGAUGCACGCUAACUGUUUGAGGAAUCAACCGGUGUUGUUAUUUCAUCUCUUUUCUUCUCACUUGUGUAAAGCUACCAUGGUAAUGAGUAGCUAAAGACACUUUUGUUGGUAUUAGAUGUAAUUGACUCUAUUAGUAUGUAUUUCUUUUGUUCAUGGCGUUAUAUAUGGUUUUAGUUAUUUAUCAAUAUUGAUCUUAUCCUUGUUUUCAAUGUUUGAAUCUUUGAUUUGAAAUGAUAUAGGAAUAUACUUUUUGAAUCUAGAACUAGGAUAAUGGUCUGUUAGAUGCUAAACUCUAGGAAUAGAUUUUGGUUUAACAUUCACUCAAAGUAUUGGAACUUAAUGCUAUUAUAUCGAUUAAGCACCCGAGGGAUCGGGGUUUGAUAG
rnacentral:lncRNA from 1 species